rnacentral:rRNA from 1 species
UAAAUACUACCUGAUGACCGAUAGAGGAGCAGUACCGUGAGGGAAAGGUGAAAAGGACCCCGGGAGGGGAGUGAAAGAGAACCUGAAACCUUGUGCUUACAAGCAGUCAGAGCGCGUUAAAGCGUGAUGACGUACUUUUUGUAGAACGGUCCGGCGAGUUAUAGUAACGAGCAAGCUUAAGGUAUUCAGUACCGAAGGCGCAGCGAGAGCGAGUCUGAAUAGGGCGUAUAAAGUUCGUUGCCAUAGACCCGAAACCGGGUGACCUAUCCAUGAGCAGGCUGAAGUGGAGGUAAAACUCCAUGGAGGGCCGAACCGACCCCCGUUGCAAUGGUGGCGGAUGACUUGUGGAUAGCGGAGAAAUUCCAAUCGAACUCGGAGAUAGCUGGUUCUCCCCGAAAUAGCUUUAGGGCUAGCGUUGAUUUAGAUUACCGGAGGUAAAGCACUGAAUGGGCUAGGGGGCGAUAAGCUUACUGAACCCUAUCAAACUCUGAAUGCCGGCUAAUUGAUGAUCAGCAGUCAGACAGUGUGAGAUAAGUUUCAUUGUCAAAAGGGAAACAGCCCAGACCUACAGCUAAGGUCCCAAAUGUGCGCUAAGUGGAAAACGAUGUGGAGUUGCGAAAACAACCAGGAUGUUGGCUUAGAAGCAGCCACUCAUUAAAAGAGUGCGUAAUAGCUCACUGGUCGAGUGACUCUGCGCGGAAAAUAUAACGGGGCUAAGCAUGCAACCGAAGCUUAGGAUUGUCGAAAGACAGUGGUAGGGGAGCGUCGUGUACGGGGUGAAGUCUGAGCGGAAGCACAGGUGGACUGUACAGGAGUGAGAAUGCCGGAAUGAGUAGCGAGAAUUAUGUGGGAAUCAUAAUGGCCGAAAAUCUAAGGUUUCUUGGGGAAGGUUCGUCCGCCCAAGGUAAGCCGGGAGCUAAGGCGAGGCCGCAAGGCGUAGUCGAUGCACAUACGGUAGAAAUUCCGUAGCCACCGAACUUUAAACCAGAAGGACACUUGCAGAUAGCGGAACCCAGCCGUUGGUUGAGCUGGGCGAAAGGGACUGAAAUAUAGUAGGGAAGUCCGCGAUGCUGUGAGGCGAGAAAAGCUCUGGUGUAUACUAAGGUGCCCGUACCGCAAACCGACACAGGUAGAUGAGGAGAGAAUCCUAAGGCCAACGGGAGAAGGGUUGUCAAGGAACUCGGCAAGUUGACCCCGUAACUUCGGAAGAAGGGGAGCCUCGAAAGAGGCCGCAGUGAAUAGGCCCAAGCAACUGUUUACCAAAAACACAGGUCUAUGCUAAAUCGAAAGAUGACGUAUAUGGGCUGACGCCUGCCCGGUGCCGGAAGGUUAAGAGGAGAGCUUAGCGCAAGCGAAGGUUUGAAUUGAAGCCCCGGUAAACGGCGGCCGUAACUAUAACGGUCCUAAGGUAGCGAAAUUCCUUGUCAGGUAAGUUCUGACCCGCACGAAUGGCGUAAUGAUUUGGGCACUGUCUCGACAGCCCGCCCGGCGAAAUUGUAGUACUGGUGAAGAUGCCAGUUACCCGCAACUAGACGGAAAGACCCCAUGGAGCUUUACUGCAGCUUAAUACUGGAAAUCGGUAAUUCAUGUACAGGAUAGGUGGGAGACGGAGAAGCAUGGUCGUCAGGUCAUGUGGAGUCGCCCUUGGGAUACCACUCUUGGAUUGCUGGUUUUCUAACCUGCGGCCGUGAAUCCGGUCGGGGGACACUGUUAGGCGGGCAGUUUGACUGGGGCGGUCGCCUCCAAAAAGGUAACGGAGGCGCUCAAAGGUUCGUUCAGCACGGACGGAAAUCGUGCAUUGAGUGUAAACGCAUAAACGAGCCUAACUGCGAGACCGACGGGUCGAGCAGUAACGAAAGUUGGAGUUAGUGAUCCGGUGGUAUGUGAGUGGAAAUGCCAUCGCUCAACGGAUAAAAGCUACCCUGGGGAUAACAGGCUGAUCUCCCCCAAGCGU